rnacentral:lncRNA from 1 species
AAAGGAUAGAAAAUGAAAAACUGUGGUGACUAUUAAUUUGUCAUGUUUAACCAUAUGAGCUAUAUUUGUGGUUAUAUAAUAAAAUCUAAAACAAGGCAGAAAAUUGUACAUAGUAAAUAUGACCUCAAUAUGUCAAUUUUACCCUCAGGGGAGAAAAUCAAAAGGGAUUGGGGGAAAUAGAGAAAGAGAAGAAGAGGAAGAGAUUAGAAGCAAGGUUGGAGGAUGAAUCUCACAUGAACUUUGGGAACUGGUAAAGAAGACAGGAGGGAAAGAGAGAAGAAAGAAAUAAAAACAACAGAACAAGAUCUGUACCAGGAAUCCAGCAGUGCUUCGUAUCUGAAGAUCUGGCACCAUGCCACUCCCGCCUCUUCCCUAAAGUGAAAAUGACCAUGGAAGGUAAAUGUUUGGAAUGCAUUCAAGACAUCGAGGCAGCCACAACAGAGCAACCAGAGGCACUCAGAGUACUUCUGGAACUGUUUCAGAAAGUGGCAAGAAUGAUGGGAACUCAGCGGUUUUUCUGGGGCAAAAGGAAAUUGUAGCAUCAGCGUUCAGAUGAGAAGAAGCUGUGGAUACAUUCACAACUGUCGGGAAGCCAGUCUGCAUUGAAGUGAUUCUGGGAGGGCCAAGCCAGGCUGCCUCUGUCUCCACAAUUUGCCCUCAUCACACUUAUCUCUUGGUUGGCUGUGCCAUGGAUCUGGACUGAUGGAAGCUGAGCCUGGGGAGAUGAGCAAAGGCUGGAUUUCCUGCUGAAUUUUCCCCAUUUGCUCAGGGCUGAGCUCCAGCAAUGGCAGGCAGAAGGCUUGUUCUUCAUGGCCCCUCCUUGAAGGGCCGCCCCAAAGACCCCAUUAAAAGAUUUGGUUCUACAGAGGUUUUUCAGAAAAAA